GCCAGCAGCCAUAUCACCCUACAGCUCUCCAAUGGCUACCCACUGAAGUUAAGCAGGAUUGAGCCUGGUCAGUACUUAGAUGGGAGAUCUCCUGGGAUGCUAUGGUUGCUGCUGGAA
rnacentral:rRNA from 1 species